rnacentral:rRNA from 1 species
UCCUGGCUUAGAUUGAACGCUGGCAGCAUGCUUAACACAUGCAAGUCGAACAGCAGCAGAGUCUAGCUUGCGAGACAGAUGGCGAGUGGCGAACGGGUGAGUAACGCGUAGGAAUCUGCCUUGCAGAGGGGGACAACCAGAGAUACUCAAUUUAUACCGCAUAAUG